rnacentral:tRNA from 2 species
GUUCCCGUAGCUCAGCAGGAUAGAGCGUUCGCCUCCUAAGUGAAAGGCCGCUGGUUCGAAUCCAGCCGGGAACACCA